UGAGAUUCUCGACACGAACGGCG
rnacentral:piRNA from 1 species